rnacentral:rRNA from 1 species
UACGAAGGGGGCUAGCGUUGUUCGGAAUUACUGGGCGUAAAGGGCGCGUAGGCGGCGUGUCAAGUCAGGCGUGAAAGCCCCGGGCUCAACCUGGGAACCGCGCUUGAGACUGGCAUGCUCGAGUUCGGGAGAGGAUGGUGGAAUUCCCAGUGUAGAGGUGAAAUUCGUAGAUAUUGGGAAGAACACCGGUGGCGAAGGCGGGUCUCUGGGCAACAACUGACGCUGAGGAGCGAAAGCGUGGGGAGCGAACAGG